UGUCCAUGUUGGCGUGCAGAAGGGCGUGUUGUCCCUAUUUAAACCCCGAGCUUUGCACAGAUUACACACAGGCGCAUCUUACCUGGAGAGGACCGUCUCACAGAGCACCGCUGUACCAGAACUCUUCCAAAAUGGGCGACAACAACCCAGUCAAUCAAGAAGUGGAGCAGUUUAACAAGCAGAAGCUCAAGAAGACGAACACAGAAGAGAAAAACCGACUCCCAACCAAGGAGGAAAUCGAAGAAGAGAAGAAGGCCAUGAAAGAGGGGAACUGAAACACUACUGCCAUGAUUUUUCUUCCUGCUUCUUCUGUCCUUCUCGAUCACCUUGCUUGUCUUCCAGUUCRGAGUUCUACAUCUACAUCUUUACUGCUGUCUGCCGUGUUUUAGUGGAAAUGGGUUUAAAGGUUGCUCAAAGCRAUUGAAUGAUCUCAUCGUGAUCCAACUUGUAUCUAAAUCUAAAUGUAACGGGUGCUUCUUGUGCUCUUUCUCAAGAUUUUMCACAGUGUUGAACYGAAGGCAGUAAAUUGUGAGUGUUGGACGCAUACUUAAGACAAAAAUGAAAACGCAAAUGUACUGCAAUGACGUAAUUCACUGUUACUAAUACCAAAAGUAUGCCUGUAAAUGGUGCAUUUAAUGGCAAUGUAGAGAAGAAUAAAGGGGGAAAAAAACAUAUUUUUGUUUUAAUAAAACAUCAACGUGACAAAUGUUUUGCUUAA